rnacentral:rRNA from 1 species
CACGUAGGGCGCGAGCGUUGUCCGGAAUUAUUGGGCGUAAAGAGCUCGUAGGCGGCCUGUUGCGUCCGCUGUGAAAGCCCGGGGCUUAACCCCGGGUCGGCAGUGGAUACGGGCAGGCUAGAGGUAGGUAGGGGAGAAUGGAAUUCCCGGUGUAGCGGUGAAAUGCGCAGAUAUCAGGAGGAACACCGGUGGCGAAGGCGGGUCUCUGGGCUGACACUGACGCUCAUGCACGAAAGCGUGGGGAGCAAACAGG